rnacentral:rRNA from 1 species
AGUGAACGCUGGCGGUAGGCCUAACACAUGCAAGUCGAACGGCAGCACAGUAAGAGCUUGCUCUUACGGGUGGCGAGUGGCGGACGGGUGAGGAAUACAUCGGAAUCUACUUUUUCGUGGGGGAUAACGUAGGGAAACUUACGCUAAUACCGCAUACGACCUACGGGUGAAAGCAGGGGAUCUUCGGACCUUGCGCGAUUGAAUGAGCCGAUGUCGGAUUAGCUAGUUGGCGGGGUAAAGGCCCACCAAGGCGACGAUCCGUAGCUGGUCUGAGAGGAUGAUCAGCCACACUGGAACUGAGACACGGUCCAGACUCCUACGGGAGGCAGCAGGUGGGAAUAUUGGACAAUGGGCGCAAGCCUGAUCCAGCCAUACCGCGUGGGUGAAGAAGGCCUUCGGGUUUUAAAGCCCUUUUGUUGGGAAAGAAAAGCAGCAGGUUAAUACCCCGCUGUUCUGACGGUACCCAAAGAAUAAGCACCGGCUAACUUCGUG